rnacentral:rRNA from 1 species
GUUGAUUGCAUCAGGUGGCUAAUGUUUCAAGCAUGUCCCAUCAGAGGAAAUGAUGAGUCUGAGGAUUCCAAGAACCAAGGUAAUUUCAAGGAAAUGAUUAAGCUUUUGGCGUCUUAUAACAAGGAUGUACAUGAAGUUGUACAGAAUGCUCCAAGAAAUGCAAAGUACACCUCAGCAACUAUUCAAAAGGAAAUUGCUAGCAUAUUUGCUGGAAAAGUGAAAACCUCAAUUAAAGAAGAACUUGGUAAUAGCAAAUUCUCUAUCUUGGUUGAUGAAUGUAGAGACGAGUCUAAAAAAGAGCAGAUGGCAGUAGUUCUUCGAUUUGCAAACAUAGAAGGGGUGAUAAGAGAACAUUUUCUUGAUCUU